CAGUCGCCGCGGUAAUACGGAGGGUGCAAGCGUUAUCCGGAUUUAUUGGGUUUAAAGGGUCCGUAGGCGGACUUAUAAGUCAGUGGUGAAAGCCUGUCGCUUAACGAUAGAACUGCCAUUGAUACUGUAAGUCUUGAGUAUAUUUGAGGUAGCUGGAAUAAGUAGUGUAGCGGUGAAAUGCAUAGAUAUUACUUAGAACACCAAUUGCGAAGGCAGGUUACCAAGAUAUAACUGACGCUGAGGGACGAAAGCGUGGGUAGCGAACAGGAUUAGAUACCCCAGUAGUCCCUGUCUCUUAUAA
rnacentral:rRNA from 1 species